UAAGGAAUAUUGGUCAAUGGACGCAAGUCUGAACCAGCCAUGCCGCGUGGAGGAUGAAGGUCCUCUGGAUUGUAAACUUCUUUUAUCUGGGACGAAAAAGGGUCUUUCUAGAUCAACUGACGGUACCAGAUGAAUAAGCACCGGCUAACUCCGUGCCAGCAGCCGCGGUAAUACGGAGGGUGCAAGCGUUAUCCGGAUUCACUGGGUUUAAAGGGUGCGUAGGUGGGUUGGUAAGUCAGUGGUGAAAUCCCCGAGCUUAACUUGGGAACUGCCAUUGAUACUAUCAGUCUUGAAUAUUGUGGAGGUUAGCGGAAUAUGUCAUGUAGCGGUGAAAUGCUUAGAUAUGACAUAGAACACCAAUUGCGAAGGCAGCUGGCUACGCAUAUAUUGACACUGAGGCACGAAAGCGUGGGGAUCGAAACAGGAUUAGAUACCCUGGUAGUCCACGCCCUAAACUAUGGAUACUCGACAUCAGCGA
rnacentral:rRNA from 1 species